UGACAUAGCUCAAUCGGUAGAGCAACGCACUUGUAACGCGUUGGUUGUGGGUUCAAUUCCCUCUGUCA
rnacentral:tRNA from 1 species